rnacentral:misc_RNA from 1 species
AAGUCGUAACAAGGUUUCCGUAGGUGAACCUGCGGAAGGAUCAUUAUCCAUUACACCAGGUGUGGUUGCGGCCCCCGGGCGUGUGGGCGUCUUAUGGCGCCCGCUCUCCCGGGCGGUAGAGGUAAAACUCUCACGCGCCACAUGUCUGAAUCCUUUUUUUACGAGCACCUUUCGUUCUCCUUCGGUGGGGCAACCUGCCGUUGGAACCUAUCAAAACUCUUUCUUGCAUCUAGCAUUACCUGUUCUGAUACAAACAAUCGUUACAACUUUCAACAAUGGAUCUCUUGGCUCUG